rnacentral:lncRNA from 1 species
CACAUAAACUAUAGUAUUUGAUUGAAACCAGCAAUGAAAUUAACAUUCACAGUGCUUUGUUUCACUACACCAUUUCCAAAGCUAAAUAAAGCAGUUAAUUGCAGCCAGAUGCUAGGAUCAAAUAUGCACUAUGUGCCAUGUAGCCAUUUCUACAUAAACUGAACACACGAACGUGCAGUGGAAGACAUUCACAUUCAGUUCACACACAGUUCAUACGAUUGAUUUAAAGGUCACAAUAGAUAUCUGGAACAAAACAUAACAAGUUGACACAUGAACUGCAUUAACAUAGCUAAGGUUCGAUAUCUGGAACAGCAAGCUAACGAUAACUGGAACAACCAGACAACCAGAUAACAGCAGGGGAGCCAGUCUGAGCAGCUGAGGUCGGAGGCGGCGCAGUAGGCGCGGCAGGGAGCGCAUCUGAAGACGAAAUCGACGGCGGAGGAGGAGGAAUUGGUGGCGGUGGCGAACUUGGAUGGGUUGAUGCCGCCGAAGUGGAGGCCUUCUUCAAUCCAAGUCUACUUUGGCGCACCUUGCCUCCUCCUGAUGCGGCUCGCCGAUUGACCUCUGUUGGCGGCGGAUCCAUAGCGGAUGGCGGCACCUUCUCUCCACAGCCGGAUGCGGGACGGCGAGCAUCCCCUGCCGGCGUCAGAUCCAUGGAAGCCGUUCCUCCUCUACCCUAGGUUCGGAGGUGGCGGAGCCCCUGGAUACGGCGGUGGAGAUGCACCUGGCUUCAGCGGUGGUGGUCGGGGAAGAAGGGAUGGAGGCAGGUCGCGAUGUUUGGCGAGGGGGCGGGAUAGGGAGGCAAAAUCCGGUUGAGCGCGGGAAGGAUGACGACGAUGGCCAGGCUCCCGCCCGCACGGGAUCGGUGGGGAUGAAAUGAAACGCCUCAGUGCUCGUUUCACCCGAUUACCAAGACGUCGGAAACGACGCAACCUUGUUUCACCGGGAUGAAACGAUUUUCCUCUCUCUCCUCCCUAUUUCAUGUAAAGAUUCCUUUUGCGCUGAUGUGUCACUAUAUUAAAUGUGCAUGAAACACUCAUGAAACCAGCAUUGAGA